rnacentral:rRNA from 1 species
AGAGUUUGAUCCUGGCUCAGGACGAACGCUGGCGGCACGCUUAACACAUGCAAGUCGAACGAGAGAAGAGGAGCUUGCUUUUCUGAUCUAGUGGCGGACGGGUGAGUAACACGUGAACAAUCUGCCUUUCAGAGGGGGAUACCGAUUGGAAACGAUCGUUAAUACCGCAUAACAUAAUUGAACCGCAUGAUUUGAUUAUCAAAGAUUUAUCGCUGAAAGAUGAGCUCGCGUCUGAUUAGCUAGUUGGUAAGGUAACGGCUUACCAAGGCGACGAUCAGUAGCCGGACUGAGAGGUUGAUCGGCCACAUUGGGACUGAGACACGGCCCAGACUCCUACGGGAGGCAGCAGUGGGGAAUAUUGCACAAUGGAGGAAACUCUGAUGCAGCGAUGCCGCGUGAGGGAAGAAGGUUUUAGGAUUGUAAACCUCUGUCUUCAGGGACGAAAAAAGACGGUACCUGAGGAGGAAGCUCCGGCUAACUACGUGCCAGCAGCCGCGGUAAUACGUAGGGAGCGAGCGUUGUCCGGAAUUACUGGGUGUAAAGGGAGCGUAGGCGGGAUCGCAAGUCAGAUGUGAAAACUAUGGGCUUAACCCAUAAACUGCAUUUGAAACUGUGGUUCUUGAGUGAAGUAGAGGUAAGCGGAAUUCCUAGUGUAGCGGUGAAAUGCGUAGAUAUUAGGAGGAACAUCAGUGGCGAAGGCGGCUUACUGGGCUUUAACUGACGCUGAGGCUCGAAAGCGUGGGGAGCAAACAGGAUUAGAUACCCUGGUAGUCCACGCCGUAAACGAUGAUUACUAGGUGUGGGGGGACUGACCCCUUCCGUGCCGCAGCAAACGCAAUAAGUAAUCCACCUGGGGAGUACGACCGCAAGGUUGAAACUCAAAGGAAUUGACGGGGGCCCGCACAAGCAGUGGAGUAUGUGGAUUAAUUCGAAGCAACGCGAAGAACCUUACCAGGUCUUGACAUCGUAUGCAUAGCUCAGAGAUGAGUGAAAUCUCUUCGGAGACAUAUAGACAGGUGGUGCAUGGUUGUCGUCAGCUCGUGUCGUGAGAUGUUGGGUUAAGUCCCGCAACGAGCGCAACCCUUACUGUUAGUUGCUACGCAAGAGCACUCUAGCAGGACUGCCGUUGACAGAACGGAGGAAGGUGGGGAUGACGUCAAAUCAUCAUGCCCCUUAUGACCUGGGCCUCACACGUACUACAAUGGCUGUCAACAGAGGGAAGCAAAGCCGCGAGGUGGAGCGAACCCCUAAAAGCAGUCUUAGUUCGGAUUGUAGGCUGCAACCCGCCUACAUGAAGUCGGAAUUGCUAGUAAUCGCAGAUCAGCAUGCUGCGGUGAAUACGUUCCCGGGCCUUGUACACACCGCCCGUCACGCCAUGGGAGUCGGUAACACCCGAAGCCUGUAGUCUAACCGCAAGGAGGACGCAGUCGAAGGUGGGAUUGAUGACUGGGGUGAAGAC